AGACAUGUCUUCGAGCCCUUGCUCCUGUGGCGCGACGCUAUGGAGCCUGGGCCGCGCCGGGAAUCCCCGGUUCAGGGUACCGCCGGAAACGGCGGCGCCUUCCGUAUUUGAAAAGGAGACAUG
rnacentral:ncRNA from 1 species